UACGUAGGCAGCAAGCGUUGUUCGGAGUUACUGGGCGUAAAGGGUGUGUAGGCGGCUUCGUAAGUUCGGUGUGAAAUCUCCUGGCUCAACUGGGAGGGUGCGCCGAAAACUGCGGAGCUGGAGCGCAGGAGAGGAAAGCAGAAUUCCUGGUGUAGCGGUGAAAUGCGCAGAUAUCAGGAGGAACACCGGUGGCGAAGGCGGAUCUCUGGGCCAUUACUGACGCUGAGGAGCGAAAGCGUGGGGAGCGAACAGG
rnacentral:rRNA from 1 species